AUAUCUUUGGUAGCCAAGGAUGACUUGCCUAUGUUGCUAGUAGUUCUCAAAAUGUGACUAAAUCUCAUUUAUAUGGGGGUUCAUAGGCAGUCUCCUUGGCUACCCUAAGCGGC
rnacentral:pre_miRNA from 1 species